rnacentral:rRNA from 1 species
UACGAGGGGGGCGAGCGUUGUUCGGAAUUAUUGGGCGUAAAGGGUGCGUAGGCGGUUUGGUAAGUCUUGUGUGAAAUCUCCAGGCUCAACUUGGAGUCUGCACGAGAAACUGCCGGGCUUGAGUGUGGGAGAGGUGAGUGGAAUUCCAGGUGUAGCGGUGAAAUGCGUAGAUAUCUGGAGGAACACCGGUGGCGAAGGCGGCAUCCUGGACCGAUACUGACGCUGAGGAGCGAAAGCCAGGGGAGCAAACGGG